rnacentral:rRNA from 1 species
UAAUAAAUAGCCUCUUAAUUGGAGGCCAGUGAAUGGCAAGACUAGGGACAUCUGUACCCUGUAUAAAAAAACAACUUUUCAUCUGGGUGAAAAGACCCAAAUAAUAAAGGAAGACGAAAAGACCCCGCGGAACUUUACCUUUUCCAGUACCCACAUGCUCAGAAACAUAAGAACAAAAGGUUUGAUUGGGGCAAUCUCGGAACCACCCAAACCUCCGACUUAUAACAUAAAAGUAUAUAAAACUCAAUGUGGACCAAAAAGAAGUUACCCCGGGGAUAACAGCGUAAUCCAACUUGAGAGUACACAUCGAAAGUGGG